rnacentral:lncRNA from 13 species
CUUCUUUUCUUUUCCAAGUGCUUAUCAGAGUUAUAUUUACUUUCAAUAUUUGGCAAAUUGUUCGAUUAAUUAAAACCAAAAUAAAUAUUGCCAAAAAGAACCCAAAGUAAGAAAGAAGGCUUUUUAACGACUCUCAAAAGGAAAAACAAUAACAACAUCCUCUUCAGAGAAAAGGUAACUUUAUUAGCCUUCAGGAAAUGAACAAAAGAGGCAGAAAAUAAAUUUAAGAAGAUUCUGGCUCCAGGCAAGUCCCUCACUCUCCACUGAGAAAGAAACAGAUCAAGCUCAUCCAAAUCAGACAGCCUACAGGAAAGGAAGAUGCCUGCCUGAGGACGAGUGCCAUUUACUUAAGUAUUCCCUUUGGUUAUUUUCAUUAACUGGCUUCCAAAUCAAUGUGGUUGCUGAGCAAUGGCCAUGGAAUAAUAGCCUGGAAAUAGCAGAAGAGAAUGAUGACCCCACCUCUUUUACGUCCUGUGAAAUUGAAAAGUCCUCUUUUCAACCAUUUAAAAAUGGAAAAACCGG